rnacentral:misc_RNA from 1 species
GCAGCAWUCRGUGGGUUUCUUGUGUUAAUUACCUAAUCGAUGGCAUUGUUUGUCCCCAUUAGUUGGAUUUUGUAACACGUUGCUUGCGGCGUGAUACAAACAAUGAAGCAACCUUUGUUGUUCAACCUGUUGCUGCUCAUGCAUCGAUGGCUUGGCCCAUGAAGUGUUGAUUGGUCCCUUGGAUAUGGAACAUGAUGUGGGCACAAGUUUGUCAAAGAUCUUGUAUUUGCCCUAUUGAGUGAUUUAGCUUCUUUAAAUGACCGUUGUCCAUGUAUCGACAAGUCGGUGUAUGGAGGAUUGUGUCAA